GGAAAUGGGGGAGCUCUCCUGGACAAUGCAGGGAGUGGGGCUGGGGAUGGGUGGUGCAGACUUUCAGGGAACCUGAAUAAGCAGAGCUAGGGCCACCAGAGUUGGCGUCCUUUGCUUUCCAGGAGGAGAGGAGGGCAUGUCUAUCGUUGUGUGGGUGGAGUACUGUAAAGCACAGGCGGUCAGUGGUCAGCCCCGUGCCGCAGCUGCCAAGAGCAUCCAGGAGGCAGUGCAGGUCCAGGAGUUCUCAGGGAACCACCCUGGUAGGUAGGGAUGGAUUCCUGUGUGGCAGCAAAGACUCCAAAGAAAUUAAUGAAAAGUGAUGCUUCCAGAAGAUGGUGGGGCUCAGAUUAAAGGUGUGUCAUCCAGCCUCGACCUGGAUUAAAGGAGUGUGUUACUCUACCUCAAGAUCCAGAAGAAAGGCAUGUGAGUUGCCUGCCGCAAGAUCCGGAUCACAGAAAAUCCCACAGAUCAGCUCUGAGCAGAGGGACCCUCCAGCCUUGAAGACCUAACUGUUCCUCAGCCUGUCACCUUCCCCAGUCUCUGAACACCAGUGUCCUGCUCCCCAUCCGGUUCAGCCAUUUGGAAGGCCUCUUCGUCUGUGCCGGCAAAAAACCAUGAUGCCCCCAAUAAAAGAUCCAGCUCACUAUA